ACGUCCUCCUUUGGAUAUGGCAAUCCACAAGAUACAGCCUGGAGAUAAGGUCCUGAUAAAAACUUGGAAAGAAGUUACAUUAACACCACAAUGGGAAGGCCCCUAUGUUGUUUUGCUUACUACAGAAACAGCUGUCUGGACUGUGGAGAAAGGAUGGACACAUGCCAGCCGUGUUAAAGGACCCAUCUGUGACGAGAAGUGGGAGAUCGCUCCAGGAAACAAAGACCUGAAGCUCACAUUGCGACGAACUCGAUAGGUACCGUGGGUUAAGGUAGAGGCUCUCCCCUGAAGAACACUACUGCUGCCGAGAAGAACUAAAACCUCGUAGUUGGCUGCAACCCAACUGACGAGUGAGGCAGAGGAGUGAAUAAGUGGGGAAAGAAAUGGGCCUCAGCCAUUCCUAUCGGUAUUUAGGGGUUCUCGCAGUGAUUUCAUCCUGCAUAGCGACUCAACACCACCCCCACCAACCCUUUAAAUGGACUUUAAGUCGAUUCGAGGAUCAACAGGAGGACAACGCAGAAACUUUGAUGCUCAGCAAGCAAAUAUUGCAAAAAUUCAAUGAACAAAA